rnacentral:rRNA from 1 species
UACGUAGGGUGCGAGCGUUGUCCGGAAUUAUUGGGCGUAAAGCGCGCGCAGGCGGUUCUUUUAGGUCUGAUGUGAAAGCCCACGGCUCAACCGUGGAGGGUCAUUGGAAACUGGAGAACUUGAGUACAGAAGAGGAAAGCGGAAUUCCACGUGUAGCGGUGAAAUGCGUAGAGAUGUGGAGGAACACCAGUGGCGAAGGCGGCUUUCUGGUCUGUAACUGACGCUGAGGCGCGAAAGCGUGGGGAGCAAACAGG